rnacentral:rRNA from 1 species
CACGUAGGGCGCAAGCGUUGUCCGGAAUUAUUGGGCGUAAAGAGCUCGUAGGCGGUCUGUUGCGUCUGCUGUGAAAACUCGGGGCUUAGCCCCGAGCCUGCAGUGGAUACGGGCAGACUAGAGGUAGGUAGGGGAGAAUGGAAUUCCCGGUGUAGCGGUGAAAUGCGCAGAUAUCGGGAAGAACACCCGUGGCGAAGGCGGCUCUCUGGGACGGUACUGACGCUGAGACGCGAAAGCGUGGGGAGCGAACAGG